rnacentral:lncRNA from 1 species
UGUGUUUUAUAUUAAACGCAGUCCUUCAUAUUUAAAGUGUCAGAUGUGGCACUAAAAAUGAACAACAUCAACUAAUCAACAAACAGCAGAAACCCACACUGUGAGAAAGACUCCACACUUCUGACUGAUGUUCAUGUCCACUUUAUUCCUCAUAGAUAAAAUUGAAACAGAACAAUGAAAACCAAAAUAAAAAACAGGAACAGUUCUAAUGUCUACUAGAAAACAUGAAUCACAAGAACACCAGACACAAACACCAGUCUGGUUCUUUAUCCGCCUAUUCCUGAAUAUAUUUUUAGGAAAAUCUUUUCCUCAUUAAAAUUGGUCUAAAAAAUAUAAACUGCAGUUACUACUUUUUGUUUAAAUUAAUAAUCAAAUGUUCACUGAUUACAUAAAAAGUGUCAGGAUUAAAGACGUUUACAAAAUCUUUCUUGUGCUGUCAUGGUAACACACACAUGAACAAACUAAAAAUUGAUUAAAAUAUUUUAAAAAAUUAAAAUAUUUAAAUUAUCUGAAAUAUGAUUGGAGUGAUUGGAUGUGCUGCAGAGGUAGAGUGGUUGACCUCUGAUAGAAGAUCACAGGUUAAAUUACCACUUUGGCCGUCCAUGUGACAAAGUGUCAUUGGAUAAAACUGAACCCCACAUUGAUCCUGGGGGUUAUAGGUUAGUGCCAGUGUGCCAUCAACGUGUGAAUGGGUGUGUGGGGGGGUGAAUGGGACUGAAUGUUUAGUAGUUUAGACUUUCAAAGAAGGUACAUUAGCGGUAUAUUCCAUACGUAUAUGGCAACAUAAAAACAAGGCUUGAAAUAUUUCAUUCUAAAAGUCAUAAUUUCAAAUAAAAUACUAGUUUCUGUCUUCAUGGAAGAAAAUUUGUACUUUUUCCAAAUCUCUUCCUCUGCUCAUGUAAACCCCAUGUUUGUACUGCACACGUUCUCUGCUCCAAGUUUUCUUGCGCUUAAAGUUUUUAAUGAAUCCUUUAUUAAACUGUUUCAAAAUGUUUUUCUCUUGUGA